CGGGGGGAGCAAGCGUUGUUCGGAUUUACUGGGCGUAAAGGGCGCGUAGGCGGCGCAACAAGUCACUUGUGAAAUCUCCGGGCUUAACCCGGAGCGGCCAAGUGAUACUGUCGUGCUAGAGUGCGGAAGGGGCUACUGGAAUUCUCGGUGUAGCGGUGAAAUGCGUAGAUAUCGAGAGGAACACCUGCGGCGAAGGCGGGUAGCUGGGCCGACACUGACGCUGAUGCGCGAAAGCCAGGGGAGCGAACGGGAUUAGAUACCCCGGUAGUCCUGGCCUUAAACGAUGGAUACUUGGUGUCCGGGGUUACAUAGUCCCCGGGUGCCGGCGCUAACGCAUUAAGUGUCCCGCCUGGGGAGUACGGUCGCAAGGCUG
rnacentral:rRNA from 1 species